UACAUGGGGUGCAAACGUUGCUCGGAAUUAUUGGGCGUAAAGCGCGCGUAGGCGGUUACUUAAGUCGGAUGUGAAAGCCCUCGGCUUAACUGAGGAAGUGCACCCGAAACUGAGUAGCUAGAGUACGAAAGAGGGUCGCGGAAUUCCCGGUGUAGAGGUGAAAUUCGCAGAUAUCAGGAGGAACACCAAUGGCGAAGGCAGCACUCUGGGAAGUGAAUGACGCUGAGACGCGAAAGCGUGGGGAGCAAACAGG
rnacentral:rRNA from 1 species